GACGAACGCUGGCGGCGUGCUUAACACAUGCAAGUCGAACGGAAAGGCCCUGCUUGCAGGGUACUCGAGUGGCGAACGGGUGAGUAACACGUGGGUGAUCUGCCCUGCACUUCGGGAUAAGCCUGGGAAACUGGGUCUAAUACCGGAUAGGAGCCAUUUUUAGUGUGAUGGUUGGAAAGUUUUUUCGGUGUAGGAUGAGCUCGCGGCCUAUCAGCUUGUUGGUGGGGUAAUGGCCUACCAAGGCGGCGACGGGUAGCCGGCCUGAGAGGGUGGACAGCCACAUUGGGACUGAGAUACGGCCCAGACUCCUACGGGAGGCAGCAGUGGGGAAUAUUGCACAAUGGGCGCAAGCCUGAUGCAGCGACGCCGCGUGGGGGAUGACGGCCUUCGGGUUGUAAACUCCUUUCGCUAGGGACGAAGCUUUUUGUGACGGUACCUAGAUAAGAAGCACCGGCUAACUACGUGCCAGCCGCCGCGGUAA
rnacentral:rRNA from 1 species